GAUGAACGCUGGCGGCGUGCUUAACACAUGCAAGUCGAACGGAGAAAGGGUAGCUUGCUAUCUUUCUUAGUGGCGGACGGGUGAGUAACGCGUGGGUAACCUGCCCUUUGCAGGGGGAUAACAGUGAGAAAUCACUGCUAAUACCGCAUACCAACUUCUUUCGCAUGAAAGAAGUUUGAAAGAUUUAUCGGCAAAGGAUGGACCCGCGUUGGAUUAGCUAGUUGGUGAGAUAACAGCCCACCAAGGCAACGAUCCAUAGCCGGCCUGAGAGGGUGAACGGCCACACUGGGACUGAGACACGGCCCAGACUCCUACGGGAGGCAGCAGUGGGGAAUAUUGCACAAUGGGCGAAAGCCUGAUGCAGCGACGCCGCGUGAAGGAUGAAGGUCUUCGGAUUGUAAACUUCUAUCAGCAGGGAAGAAAGGGCUUAUAGCCUAUGACGGUACCUGACUAAGAAGCCCCGGCUAACUACGUG
rnacentral:rRNA from 1 species